AUCAUUGAAAGAAGAUGUUCUUUAGUUUAAUGUUUGGUUGUGUCAAACAUGUACAGCUUACUGGAUCUGUCUGCAUCAUUCUCACAGCCAAAUGUAAACAACAUAAAUGCUUGAUCACUGUUUAAUUUACUGCUAUGUUAAAACACACUAAUGACUUUCAAUACAUGUGUAAAGUUGUCUCCCAUAUACCAGUUCUACCCCCUUAAUUUGAAGAUGUCUAUUAAAAAGACAGUUCAGUAAAAAUAAACAAGGAAAUGCGUUAUAUGUAUACGAGACAACACCCUAAUGACAAAAUUAUCAUGAGACUUUCAAUUUAAGUAAAGAAGAUGUUGGUAUUACGUACAUGCGGCAGUUAGGCAAUGUCAAAAUAAUAAAACUAAUCAAUACCCAACUACGUUGUAUGAUAUCAAGA
rnacentral:lncRNA from 1 species